GGGAACGACAGGUUUUGACAACAAGGACAAUGAACUUGUAAGCAUCGUAAAAGUAAAUAUAGAAAACUUGAAGCUUUGGCAAGUUUUUGAAACUAAAGAAGAUAAGCUAAAAUCAGGUUGUUCUUCACCAACUUUUAGUCGAAAAUUAAGAAAGAACUAAGUAUGUAGAAAGCUUUUUGGCUGCUUGUUUGGACCCGAGUUCGAUUCUCGGCGUCUCCACAA
rnacentral:tmRNA from 1 species